CUCCUAUUGAUUGUGCGCACGCGCGCGCAGGCGCAAUUAGCAGGUCCUGCCGCCUGGUUCCGAGGUCCGACACAGAGGGCCGUUGGGAGGCAGUUGGGCGUGGCAACGGACGCUAUCUGAAGGCCACGCCCACUCGGGACUGGAGGGAUGGGCUUCCUAACGGAAGCGCACCCUUCAAGUCCUGGAACACCGACUCUAUCUUCUGACUGCUUUGGGGUUGCGGAAUGGAAAGACCCUCCCCCGGAUGAGGGCCUCCUGCGUUUAGAAACCAGAGGAUUGGAGCGGCCAUAGGUAAUCUGAGGAAGGCAGCGGUUCCCUGCGUUUAGACUCGUGCCUCGAGGAGCUCGGAGGAGCUCCGCACAGCCUUCUCCGCUGCAGAGGCCCCAGGCGCGGGUCUGCAGGGCAGUGCGUGUCCCCAUGUGACCCGCGUGCUGCGGGGACCUAAGGUCACGUCUGGGAGCUGCCACCUCUGCAGAGGACGCAAGUCUGCAAGGCCUGCGCGACGCUGACACCUCGGGUCUGCAUCCGUGCGGGGCUGGAACUCAAGAGGAAGCACCGCUUUUGUCGCCUUCCUAGAGGCGGGGGGGGGGCGGGGGGGGCUGGAGGUGGCCAGCCUGUGUCUGAACAGCAGGAUGCGGAACCGUCGCCCAGCAUCUUCCCCUUGGCGUUCCGAGGGGACGGAGCGACCCCGCCUUUGCAUCUCAGGUGAUGGAAAACAGGAACGCCUCACGGGGGAGGAAGGGAAGCACCAAGGUCACCUGGAGUUUUAAGUCAAACCAAGAAACGAAGGAAGUCAAGUAUAAAGGCUGCGGUCCUCCGUCCUUCGGUGACCCCUACAACUGGACAGAUGGAGGGCGGGCUCCGAGUUUAGUGCACUAUACGAAAGUGGCCUCGGGAGAAAUAACUUCGUGUAGUGUUGUAACCUUAAAAAUCCAGACAUGAAACGGAAGGGAAACAGGUAAUGAAAACCACAUGUACUUCUGAGAGCUGCUCAACACCUGUUAAUUUUAAAUUUGUCAUACUUCGGGGGGGGGGUACUGGGGGAGGUGAGGAACCAGGCAUUUAAUUCCAACGCUUGGGAGGCAGGAGGCUCACUGGAGUUCCAGGCCAGCUUGGUCUGCACAGUGAGUUCCAGAUUAGCAAGGACUACGUAAGUAAGACCCUGCCCUUUUCUCCCACCCACCCAGAAAAUAAAUUUAUCAUGGCUGGUUUCUUGAUUCUGCACAUGACAGAAGGCUUUGCAUUACACCAAUAGAAUGAACACGAACAAAUACUUCUCAAAUACACUCUCUUCCUGGCAUGUGUUUGGAGCUCAGGUUCCAAGUUGGAAAGCAGCCCAUUUUGAAGAUACACUUAAUCUCACCAGAUAAGCAAAAUAAACAAGGUCCUCCAUCAACAUUGGCUCUUAGUUUGGUGUUUUUUGGCAGAGUUUAUGAAGCCUGAGCUGGUCUCAAACAUUUUAUUCCUUCCAGUGUCUCCUGGUGCAUUACAUUUAUGCCAAUCUUCUGUCUUUUAUUAUUAUCUAAUAGUUGAUUUUUAUUUUUCUCCCCUUAUACAGGCUCUCACUACAAAGCCCUGGCUGGCCUGGAUCUCACUAUGCAAUUCUGACUAGUUUGAAACUCACUGUGGAGACCAGGCUAGCCUCAAACUCACAGAUAUCCGCCUGAGUUCUGCUGCCCAAGAGCUGGAAUUAAGUGCAUCAUCCUACCCUGCAGACCUGCUAUCUUGUUUAUUCAGUGGUAUAGUAUGCCUUUUUUUUUUUUUUCAAAACAAGCUAUAAAUUAAGCAGGCAAUUAGUUUUGCAUGGAUCAAGUCAUGAAAACAUCUUGGACAGCAUUCAAUGUACCUGCUGACCUUGCUAUUUUAGAUUCCUCCCCAGGUUUUGAGACCACAUGUAGCCUAGGCUGGCCUUGAACCUUUUUCUUUUCUUUAUUUUUUAUUUUAUUUGCCUGGUAUGGUGGUACUCAAGGGGAGGCAGGAGGAUCUCCGUGAAUCCAGUCUAGUUUACAUAGUGAGUUCCAGGAUAGACAGCCAUAUGUAGAGAGACCCUGUCUCUAAAUUUGAUAUUAAUGUUUUGCCUGUAGUAUAUAUGCACCUAUAUGUGCCUGGUGUCUACAGAGGCCAGAAGUAGUUGUCAGAUCCCUAGAACUAGAAUUACAUGGAGUUGUGAGUACAUACUGCGAAUUGAAUCCUGGUCCUUCUUUGAGAACAGUGCUCUUAACUGCUGCAUUGUCUCACAGGCCUGGCCUUGAGCUCUUCAUGUUGCCUCCACCUCCUCAAGCGCUAGAAUUAUAGGGCAUGUACCACCCACCAUCAUACCUGGUGCUUCUGAUUGCAUUUUCUAUGCCUAGCCUUUAAUCUCAGCACUCAAAGAGGUAGAAACAGGAGGAUCUCUUGAGUUCAAGGUCAUCAUAUAGGUAUGGGGAAUUGAACUCUGGACGAGCAGCAAGCAUUCAUAAUGGCUGAGCCAUCUCUCCAACCCAUUUUCUUGUUUUGUUUUUUCAAGAAAGGGUUUCUUGGGCUGGUGAGAUGGCUCAGUGGGUAAGAGCACCUGACUGCUCUUCCAAAGGUCCAGAGUUCAAAUCCCAGCAACCACAUGGUGGUUCACAAUCAUUCGUAAUGAGAUCUGACUCCCUCUUCUGGAGUGUCUGAAGACAGCUACAGUGUACUUACAUAUAAUAAAUAAAUUAAUUUAAAAAAAAAAAGGGUUUCUUUGUGUAGUUCUGGCUGGCUGACCUGAAACUCAUUUUAUAGACCAGGCCGACCUCAAACUCAUAGAGAUCCACCUUCCUCUGCCUUCAGAGUGCAUGACUACAAUAUUGUGGAGUCCUAUGCACACAACUUUAUUCUACUUGUUCAUUUACCUAAGUUUGAUUGUUUGUGUGUGUGUGUGUGUGUAUAUAUAUAUAUAUAUAUAUAACUGUUUGUGUUGUACAGAGGACCACUGCCAAGAGUUAGUUCUCUUCUACCAUCCUGGGGAUCAUCUUAGGCUUGGCUGGGUUAGUGGCUAUACCUGCUAAGCAAUCUGGCCACUCUGGUUUUUCCUUUUUUGAGACGGGGUCUCCCUCUGUAUCCCAGGCUAGGCUUGAACUUCUAAUCUUCCUGCGUGAGACCCAAGUGUAGUCCUGUUUAAAAGUGACACCAGGGGCUGGAAAGAUGUCUCAGUAGUUAAGAGCACUGACUGCUCUUCCAGAGGUCCUGAGUUCAAUUCCCAGCAACCACAUGUUGGCUCACAACUAUCUGAUGCCCUCUUCUGGUGUGUCUGAAGACAGCAACAGUGUACUCACAUACACAAAAUAAAUAAAUCUUUAAAAAAAAAAA
rnacentral:lncRNA from 1 species